CAGUUCGAACGAGCUUCCGUUGAAUGACGUGCUUGCACUGAUUUCACAAUGAAGCGAGUGGCGAACUGGUGAGUAACACGUGGGAAAUCUGCCAGAAGCAGGGGAUAACACUUGGAAACAGGUGCUAAUACCGUAUACAACAAAAUCCGCAUGGAUUUUGUUUGAAAGGUGGCUUCGGCUAUCCUUCUGGAUGAUCCCGCGGCGUAUUAGUUAGUUGGUGAGGUAAAGCCCACCAAGACGAUGAUACGUAGCCGACCUGAGAGGGUAAUCGGCACAUUGGGACUGAGACACGGCCCAAACUCCUACGGGAGGCAGCAGAGGGAAUCUUCCACAAUGGACGAAAGUCUGAUGGAGCAAUGCCGCUGAGUGAAGAAGGGUUUCGGCUCGUAAAACUCUGUUGUUAAAGAAGACACCUUUGAGAGUAACUGUUCAAGGGUUGACGGUAUUUAACCAGAAGCCACGGCUAACUACGUGCCAGCAGCCGCGGUAAUACUUAGGUGGAAGCGUUGUCCGGAUUUAUUGGGGCGUAAAGCGAGCGCAGGCGGUUUUUAAGUCUGAUGUGAAAGCCUUCGGCUUAACCGGAGAAGUGCAUGGAAACUGGGAGACUU
rnacentral:rRNA from 1 species